UACGUAGGAUGCAAGCGUUGUCCGGAAUUAUUGGGCGUAAAGAGCGUGUAGGCGGCCCGACCAGUCCGCUGUGAAAGUCCAGGGCUCAACCCUGGAAUGCCGGUGGAUACUGUCGGGCUAGAGUCCGGAAUGGGCGAGUGGAAUUCCUGGUGUAGCGGUGAAAUGCGCAGAUAUCAGGAGGAACACCAAUGGCGAAGGCAGCUCGCUGGGACGUGACUGACGCUGAGACGCGAAAGCGUGGGGAGCAAACAGG
rnacentral:rRNA from 1 species